rnacentral:rRNA from 1 species
UACGUAGGGGGCAAGCGUUAUCCGGAAUUAUUGGGCGUAAAGCGUCCGCAGGUGGACAUACAAGUCUGCUGUCAAAGUGCAGAGCUUAACUCUGUAAAGGCGGUGGAAACUGUAGGUCUUGAGUAUGGUAGGGGUAGAGGGAAUUCCCGGUGUAGCGGUGAAAUGCGUAGAUAUCGGGAAGAACACCAGUGGCGAAAGCGCUCUACUGGGCCAUAACUGACACUGAGGGACGAAAGCUAGGGGAGCGAAAGGG